UGCGUAGGUGGCGAGGUAAGUCGGAUGUGAAAGCUCGGAGCUCAACUCCGAAAUGGCAUUGGAAACUACCUUGCUCGAGGGUUGGAGGGGGGACGUGGAAUUCUCGGUGUAGCAGUGAAAUGCGUAGAUAUCGAGAGGAACACCAGUGGCGAAGGCGAGUCCCUGGACAACUCCUGACACUGAGGCACGAAAGCUAGGGGAGCAAACA
rnacentral:rRNA from 1 species